AUAAAAUGCCGUAACACGUCGACGAAUAAAUGUGGGUCGACGCGAAAAUGUGAAUUCUCCGAUAAGUUUACGAAUACAGAAAGUCGUGUCGACUGCAGAUUGCAGUCGCAUCGAGAUGUCAUCGUGGUGAGGUGAAGAUUUUUUUUCGGCUAAAAAUUUGAAGAGUUGGCUACAUCAUGAUGGAACACAUUCAUGUGAUGCCGAACAAGAGUGAGGCUGACUUAACACCUGAAGAAAGAUGGAGGGUUGAACGUAUAAAAAUGCACGAACAACAUCGGGGCCACGAGUCCAUGCACAUGGAGAUGAUGCUUAUUUUGAUAGUCACAGUUAUUAUUAGUGAAAUCAUACUUAUUACCUGGAAACAGAAACACUACAGAUCUUAUCAACUUAUAACGCUACUUGGUAUGUGGGUGAUUCCACUAGGAAUGUGCAUUAGAAAUCUGUGGUGGAGAUUCAUAUUUUUAUGGCUAGUUUUCUCAUGUAUUACUGGACUGAUUGUAAGAAAGACUAUACAAAGACCAAUGGCUGGCACAACUCCUAGGCUAGUAUAUAAGUGGUUCUACUUUAUCUACAAACUUAGUUACUGUUUGGGUAUAAUAGGAUAUUUCAUCAUGUUAGCUACGUUUUUUGGCUUGAAUCUUGUGUUUGAUGCUAAACCUCAAAUUUGGAUGGACUGUGGGCUAUUGUUCUUAUUUUAUGGUUUGUACUUUGGAGUCUUGGGCAGGGAUAUUGCAGAAAUAUGUGCAGAUAAAAUGGCAGCACAUAUUGGGUAUUAUAACCCUGGAAGCAUGCCAACUAGAUCAUUGGAUCCUAACGUUUGUGCUGUGUGUGGAAAUCAAUUAUUAGUUUCAGAACAUGAAGAGGGUGUUCUUGAAAACACAUACAAACUUAGUUGCAAUCAUGUUUUCCAUGAAUUCUGUAUUAGAGGCUGGUGCAUUGUUGGCAAAAAGCAAAUUUGCCCUUACUGCAAAGAAAAAGUGGAUUUAAAAAAAAUGUUCCGCAACCCAUGGGAAAAACCACAUGUCCUCUAUGGACAACUUCUUGAUUGGCUGAGGUGGCUUGUUGCUUGGCAACCUGUUAUUUUGUUCCUAGUUCAGGGGAUCAAUUGGAGCCUGGGACUUGAGUAAGUAAAAGCAGCACUGACUUACAUUAAGCCAUGAAAAGAGCUUUUACAAUGAAAAUCAUCAUUCAAAAUAAUAUAAAUAUACAAUCACUAAAUGUAGAAAAAACUAAAGUUUUAAGAGCACUAGAAGCCAUUUUACUUCAAUAUCUUGUCAGUUAGUGAAUACAAUUUUCUAUUCUUGUCAUUAAUAUAAGUUUAUAUAUAAAAUUUAGAAGUUUCCUUAAAAUAUUAUGUGACAACAUUUUUCCUAUGUGAUAUUGUAAUCAUUUCAGCGAAGCUUGUUUUUAUUGAAUCAUGUGUUUGAGUUUUGUUAUUAGGAUCAAGUAGAUUUUUUUAUAACAUUCCCAUAGAUGAAAAUUAGACAUGUUUAUACUGAGAAUACUAUGGUUGAUGAUAUGAUAAGACAUUAUGUAAAAUUGUGUUUGUCUUGGAGUGCCAUUACGGUGAAAAUUGCUUUGUCAAAUGUUAUAAUUAAAAACUGAUAAUGUUGGUAAUACAAUUUUCGUACCAGUUUAUAUUCACACCUCAUAAGAUGCCAAUAGUCGUUGACCAAAGUGAUGAUGAAAUUAUUAAAAAUACCUUCAAUCAAAUGUGCAUCAAAAACUCGGGACAAUCUUUGAAUUGUUGCAAGUUUUAUAUGUAGGAAAAUUUUCGUUUACAAUUUGGCUAUAACUUCAUUAAAGAGUUUAAAACUCAAAUUUACGGAAUUCAAAUGAAAUAACAAUGUCAUAGACGUUUUGACGAAACGAACUUGUGGAAGAAAUAUACAACUUUUCUCAUGAAAAUCCCUUUUUUUAUCAAAACGUGAAAUUUGUAAACAGAUGCAUACGUUUCAUGAUUAUCGUCAAAUACUUUUUCACUUUUUAUUGUUUAAGUUAAGAUAAACUUUUUCACGUAUGCAAGUGUAAUUUAUAUAUGCGUGCAUGUGUACAAACAAAUAUAUAAAAAGAGAAAAAAGAAAAAACAUCGUAAUUGUAAAAUAUGUCUUUUGAUAAUUCGGAAUCGCUAAUUAUACAAUUAAAUGUUUUUUUUGUAAAUAGUACUGAAUGACAGCACAUUGUUAGUACACUCCGACCGUCUUAUUGGACACUGAUCUGUUAAUAUCUCGAACCACGAAACUAUUUGUGAAAAUGAAAGAUUGUAAAAUAAAUAAAAGUUUCGUUUAUGUAAA